rnacentral:tRNA from 1 species
GCCGGUUUGGCGCAGUGGUAACGCAUCUCACUUGUAAUGAGAAGAUCGCUUGUUCGAUCCAGGCAAUCGGCA